AGGGUUUGAUUAUGGCUCAGGACGAACGCUGGCGGCGCGCCUAACACAUGCAAGUCGAACGGAGAUUACAGGCGGAAGUUUUCGGAUGGAAGCUUGUAAACUUAGUGGCGGACGGGUGAGUAACACGUGAGCAACCUGCCUAUCAGAGGGGGAUAACGAUUGGAAACGAUCGCUAAUACCGCAUGACAUAGCGGAACCGCAUGGUUCUGUUAUCAAAGAUUUUAUCGCUGAUAGAUGGGCUCGCGUCCGAUUAGAUAGUUGGUGGGGUAACGGCCUACCAAGUCGACGAUCGGUAGCCGGACUGAGAGGUCGAACGGCCACAUUGGGACUGAGACACGGCCCAG
rnacentral:rRNA from 1 species